rnacentral:rRNA from 1 species
AGUGAACGCUGGCGGUAGGCCUAACACAUGCAAGUCGAACGGCAGCACAGUAAGAGCUUGCUCUUACGGGUGGCGGGUGGCGGACGGGUGAGGAAUACAUCGGAAUCUACUUUUUCGUGGGGGAUAACGUAGGGAAACUUACGCUAAUACCGCAUACGACCUACGGGUGAAAGCAGGGGAUCUUCGGACCUUGCGCGAUUGAAUGAGCCGAUGUCGGAUUAGCUAGUUGGCGGGGUAAAGGCCCACCAAGGCGACGAUCCGUAGCUGGUCUGAGAGGAUGAUCAGCCACACUGGAACUUAGCCACGGUCCAGACUCCUACGGGAGGCAGCAGUGGGGAAUAGUGGACAAUGGGCGCAAGCCUGGUCCAGCCAUACCGCGUCGGUGAAGAAGGCCUUCGGGUUGUAAAGCCGUUUUGUUGGGAAAGAAAAGCAGCAGGUUAAUACCCCGCUGUUCUGACGGUACCCAAAGAAUAAGCACCGGCUAACUUCGUG